GCCUGGGUGGCUCAGUUGGUUGGGCAUCUGACUUCAGCUCAGGUCAUGAUCUCACAGUCCGUGAGUUUGAGUCCCAUAUCAGGCU
rnacentral:tRNA from 1 species